rnacentral:rRNA from 1 species
UUUUAUGGAGAGUUUGAUCCUGGCUCAGGAUGAACGCUGGCGGCGUGCCUAAUACAUGCAAGUCGAGCGAACAGAUAAGGAGCUUGCUCCUUUGACGUU